UUCAGUCGAUUCAAAAUAACGCAUCCACCUUCUAUUAAUAUGCUCUUAAAUCCGAGCUUUUAAAUCAAUUAUCCCGGGACUCGCACUUUAAAGCAUUCAAUCGACCUAUUUGGCUUCCAAGCUAACCGACUAAAGCUGCGAGUAUAAAUAUCACAUCCGAUGAACAGAAGGACGUUAGGAAAGGGUUGAACUCAUGAGUUUUGACAUUCUGCUCAUCCAUGAGCAGGCAACACUGAUUCAGGCCUCCAUUAGUGUCUAUCGAUUCAGGGAUUCUUACGUGCUUAUUGGCUUCGAUUUAUUUUUUAUUAUACUGGCUUAUGAAAUUUCAAAAAUAAGGCAAUUUUUCUUAUGAUAAACAGCCACACCAAGCUCUUACAGACCAGAGUCCUUGAUAAUGUUCCUCCCAGUAAAACAUUAAAAUCCUUUUUCCAUAACCCCUUGGUUGUUUUGUUUCUUGUUCAAAUGACCUGAAACCUCUUUGUUGUUUUAUUUGGUAAUCAUUUGUUGCAUAAACGCUUAUUCUCUGAAUCCAGCUCCACAUUAAUAAAAAGCUUUCCCCUUUAAUUGAUAUGUCAGGUGAAGGUGGAACAAGAUCCACGAGAAGUUGAGGUCUUCAAAAGUACCAUUUGUGGAAAAGGAUUUUUUAAAGCUUCACAUGUCUGUCAUGCUUCUGUUUGAGUUAACCUUAUUGUUCUUGAUAGGCCAUUCAUGUAAGCAUUUUGACUGGGUUAAGUAUCUGAAUGGAUUUAGCCUUUUUUUUUAUUUGGAAUUGAUCCUGCAGAGAUGGUGUCUGCGUAAUAUUAUGUUCCUAUUGUAAACUGAAUUUGAUAUUUAUGGGUGUUUGUUCUUCGCAGGGAAAUCAAGCAAUCGUAGAAAUUCAGUUAGUAUAUAUAUCAUGCUUUUGAUUAGUUAAGUGUUCCCAUCUUAUAAACAAGAAUCUGAUUCUAACCGCUGGUUUCGGAUUGAGUUUGUGAUAGAUUGUUAGCGAAGCGGCUAAGUUAACUUACCGAAGUGGUAACCAAUUCAAUUGUGAAGCACCUUAUGGGAAAGUCGGGCAUGGUUAAGUGUCAUGAGCAAGAGCUUCUUGAAUAUACCAAGCCUUUCAGACUUUUAAACAAGAGCUUGCUGAACAUGUUACUUAUUUUGAUCUCACUGCUGCUUUUGUGUAUCUUAACAUGGAUUGCUCAUUGCUUCAGGGUCAUAUUAGCUUUCAGGUGUUUCAUCUUUUUGUUUCUCUGGGAUUAUACUUGUGCAGCAGAUUAUAUUUGUUUGUUACUGCUGCAACAAGAGUUUUGUGCUCUAAAUAACUAUAUUAUUUGUUUCCACCAUUCGUACGUAUUUUCAAAAGCA